rnacentral:rRNA from 1 species
CAAUAGCGUAUAUUAAAGUUGUUGCAGUUAAAAAGCUCGUAGUUGGAUUUGUGGCGUAUGGUGUGUUCCGGGCACUUGUUGUCUGAGUAACUUGCCAUUGCCAUCCUUGGGUGGAACCUGUGUGGCAUUAGGUUGUCGUGCAGGGGAUGCCCAUCGUUUACUGUGAAAAAAUUAGAGUGUUCAAGGCAGGCUUAUGCCGUUGAAUAUAUUAGCAUGGAAUAAUAAGAUAGGACUUUUUUGCUAUUUUGUUGGUUUGCGCGAGAAGGUAAUGAUUAAUAGGGAUAGUUGGGGGUAUUCGUAUUCCAUUGUCAGAGGUGAAAUUCUUGGAUUUUUGGAAGACGAACUACUGCGAAAGCAUUUACCAAGGAUGUUUUCAUUAA